GACGAACGCUGGCGGCGUGCUUAACACAUGCAAGUCGAACGGAAAGGCCCUGCUUUUGUGGGGUGCUCGAGUGGCGAACGGGUGAGUAACACGUGAGUAACCUGCCCUUGACUUUGGGAUAACUUCAGGAAACUGGGGCUCAUACCGGAUAGGAGCUCCUGCUGCAUGGUGGGGGUUGGAAAGUUUCGGCGGUUGGGGCUGGACUGGCGGCUUAUCAGCUUGUUGGUGGGGUAGUGGCUUACCAAGGCUUUGACGGGUAGCCGGCCUGAGAGGGUGACCAGCGACAAGGGGACUGCGAUACGGACCAGACGCCUACGGGAGGCAGUAGUCGGGAAUAUGGCACAGUGGGGGGAAGCGUGAGGCAGCGACGCCGCGUGCGGGAUGACGGCCUUCGGGUUGUAAACCGCUUUCGCCUGAGACGAAGCGUGAGUGACGGUAAUGGAUAAAGAAGCACCGGCUAACUACGUG
rnacentral:rRNA from 1 species